AUCUAUCUUGCCCCCACAGUAGUGAAUGACUCAGCCUCAACCCACUUGGAGAAAUAGUCAUUCGCCACUGCUAUGUAUAUGUGACUGAAGGAGGUUUUAUUUUUUUGAUGAUGUCGAUUCCCCAGCUGCAAAAGGCCAUAGGGAUGUUAAAUUAUGUAACUCAAUCGGAGGUAUGUAACUUAGGUCAUUGUAAAGCUGGCACUCACGAAAUUUACUAGAAAUAUACAAUCCUUUUCUAUUGUUAACCAGUAAUAACCUUGAUGCAUAACCUUCCUGGUUAACACUAUGCCAUUCAUUU
rnacentral:lncRNA from 1 species